rnacentral:lncRNA from 1 species
AAGAAUACCCUUCCGUCUCCAUUAACGGAGCCGCAUUAACCCUCUUUACCUCUCUCUACGAUCAUCUCUCUGGACUAAUAGAUGAGGUCAAAAUCUGAUACUUGUUUUAAUUUACGUUAACUUUUCGUUAACAAUUGUGAGACACGAAACAGCUUGACCAUGAGAUCUCCCUCAUGGAGUCAAAACCCGUGUUGGUAUCUGUUUUUAGAUCAACUUAUAUAUAUAUAUAUAUAUAUAUAUAUAUAUCUUGUGGAUAAAAGGAAAGUUUACAAGUGAGAAUAGUGGCAUUUUUCUGACAGAUUUCACACCGUUGCUUGUUUUGCAGUUGACUGUGAUUGAAGGUCGAUUAAUCAUCACUGGGCACUCGAUGGGAGGAUCCGUUGCUUCUCUCUUCACCUUAUGCCUGCUAGAAGUCAUUAAUAUAUCAAAACCCAAAUGCCGCCCCAUUUGCAUCACCUUUGGUUCACCCCUCAUAGGCGACUUUGGCCUCCAACACUCCAAUUGGAAUUCUUUCUUCUUGCAUGUAGUGUCCAACCAAGAUCUAGUCCCCGGACUCUUCCUCCCAUCCGGCAGAUCUCCUCCCACAUCCUCCCAUUCACAAACUACUGGUUACAAGCCCUUUGGGACAUAUCUCUUGUGCUCUGAACUUGGUUGUGCUUGUUUUGACAACCCUGAUUUAAUUUUGGAAUUGCUGAAAGUCAUAUCAUCAGAGGUUGCCGGAGGAUUGCGGGAUGUUGAUUACAGGAAGAUUUUAAUAAACCUCAAGGAGAGGGCAAUCUUCAAGGGACUUCAGCAGGUGGGUGAAAGGUUUGCAGAUCCCUUGUCAGCUGGGAUCGUCAUGGACCUUGAGAUAAUUGGAUUUGAUCAAACAAAGGUAAACAGCUUUCUCCCAAUUAAUGAUGUAGUAUGGUUUACACUCAACUUCACCAAAACCUGCAACAACUGCCCUAUUUAGAUUUGCCUUCCUGUUCUUUGGGUUCUUCUAUAACUUCUCAUUUUUUAAAUUCAUGGCAGCUGUUGCGGCACAACAUUGAUAUCAACACUGUGAUAAGGAUACUGGGAGUGGAAGCCAGAAUCCUAGCCCACAAAAAUAAAGCUUCUGAUGCCAAGAAACUGAAUGACAUAAAAAUACACAUGGCCCAGCUAGAAUGGUAUAAGAAGAAAUCAAAAGAUCUGAACAAGGGUUACUACGACUGCUUCAAAAACCAGGGGUCAAAAAGGGACAUUAAAAUUGAACAGUAUAGGGGACACCUCACAAUAUACUGGAAAGACAUGGUUGCACAAGUACAGAGGAAGCCCCAGAAGGAAGGAGCAUCAUUUCGAACCAGUUGGCUCUAUCCAGGGACAACUUAUAGAAGAAUGGUUGAACCACUGGACAUUGCUGCCUUCUACAGAGAGGGUAGAACAGACUACAUAAACAAUGGAAGAUCUCCUCAUUACAAGCUGUUGCAGCAAUGGUAUGAGGAAGAUGUGAAGCCCCCAUCCAGAGAUAAGCUCGAUUCCAAGAAACUAAAGGUGUCUGGUAUCCUAACUGAGGAUUCUUUGUUUUGGGCACAUGUGGAGGAGGCUCUCUUGUCAUGCGAAUCGCUCAAGAGUGCAAACUCUACUCUUGAGCAGAGAAAAUCAUCAUGGGAUAAUCUGGUUAAGUUUGGGGAGUAUGUAAUGGAACAGAUUGGAAACUAUGCAGUGUCCCCUGAGAUUUUCUUGGGGGAAAGCAGCUUCAUGAAAUGGUGGGGAGUGUAUGAGGACUACAUAGAUGCUUCCAAUAAUUCCUAUGGGUCACCAUUGAUCAGCUUUAUGAAGAACCGUAGUUAUAGACUGUAUGGUUAGAGGGCAAUCCAGUUUGUGUAUUGUGUUUAUUGUAUUGUGAGCAUUCAAUAGAUAAAACUAGAAAGAGCGUGACCUUUUUAUGACAACUUUAGAAACCAGGGGUUAAAAGAGACAUUACAAACUGAAGUUUUUGAGAGGAAACCUCAAGAGUAUACUGGGAAGCCAUGGUGGAACAAGUAGAGAGGAAGCCUCAGAAGGAAGGAGCAAUGGUUGAACCACUUGACAUUGUUGCCUACUACAGGGAGGGUGUAAGAAACAACAUAACCGAGGGAAGAUCUGAACGUUAAACGUUGUCCAAUUAUUAUAAAUGUCUUAUACAUUACGUGUGAAAAUACCAAAAAAAAUUAUAUUCAACAUUUAUGUUUGUAUACAAGCAAUAUUUUGGAUAGUUUGAUAUAAAAAACAAAUGAAGAAAAUGAAGAAAAACAUACAAAUAUAUUUACAAUGGACAAACUUAUACAAUUAGUAUAAAUGUCUUGUAUAUUUAGUACAAAUGUCUCGUACUUUGUAAAAAUAUAAAAAUAUAGUAUUUGACUUUUAUAUAUGUGUGAAAAUGUAAAAAGAAAAAGAAAAAUAGUUAGAGCAUUUGGUACCGUGAGUGAUGACUUCACCUAAAGAAAGGUUAAUGAAUAUUAUGGUCUCGAUGGAAGAGCGACUCCGGUAAAAUAUAUGGAUUAAAUUGAUGCUUUUCUUUUGACGAUGAAGUAGUUGAGUUAUGAAUACGAGGUUUUGCUAACAGCAUUGAAGGCAAGGAUUCCCUAAUAUACUCCAAUUCAUAUUCAAUUUGUAGACCUUCAACUAACUACUCUUGCUAACGAGCAUAUCCAAGUCAAUACAUAAGAUUAAUUAAGAUUAAGUAUUACGUAUGAUAAUUGAAACCCUAUUUAAAUAAAUAAUGACACAUAUAUAAAAAAUAUAUAUAUUUUUAAAAAAAUAAAUAACAAUUUAGAGAAUUUCAUAACUUAGCAUCAAACCUAUUGUAAGAAAGAGUAUUAUACAAUGUAGGGUUUAGGAUCCAAGUCAACCUAAGAUCAAAUUUAAGUUUUAAGAUCAAUUCACAUUCAAAACUAAGGUUUUAAGUUUCAAAAAUAUAUUUCUUAAACCAAUUAAAUGGAAAAAAGAAAAUUACAAAGAAAAUUUCUCCCUCAUCAGUUUCUUUUAUCUUGAAAACUAAAGGAAAUAUAUAUCAAUAUUUGAGAUGGAAAUUCAUAAUCUUAGGUGGUGUUUGUUUUUUUGGCUUUUUGCUGAAAACUAUUUAGUUUUAGAAUUUAGGUUUUUUUUUUUUUUUACUUUUUCAUGACUUAUAAUAAACUUUUUACUAAAUAGAAAAAACCAAAAUAUGUGGUUUUUUCUAAAUAGAAAAAAUAACACAAUGGUUUUUUUUACUUUUUAAUACUUAAUAGAAAUAAAAUACUACAAAAACAAACAUCUUAAUAUUUAAUACUAUUAAGUAUUAAGGUUCUAUUUAGAAUUAAGUAAAAAAACAAACACCACCUUAGAAACACAAAGAACAAAGAGAGUAUGAAGAGACCAUACCAUGAGAGAUUUUCCGAAAGGUUGGUAAACCAUGGUAAUCACCUUUGAGUCUUGCUGAGAAAAACAAACCUUAUUUAUUUUUAUUUUUUUAUCAUUUUUUCUCUUGUGUGGUGUACAUUUAAGAAAAACAAAUCUCAAAAAAAAAAAAAAACACAAACCAAAUAAUGCCAGAAUUUGGGUUGAGAAACACCCAAAAGAUAGUGGCCCAAUACAUGUGCCUAAGAAAAUCUUCAUGAGCCGAUAAACAUAGUCACAAAACUAGUAACAGCCUUGUAGCCAUAGUUGGUGUAGUAUGAGCAAGUGGGGUAUGAAGUAGGUAGGUGAGUAUUGCAAUGAAAUUUCCAGCACUGCUUCCUGAAUUAAGAAAUCACAUACCCAAGUCUUAGUCGUCGUCGUCGUCGUACCGUGUGAGAACCGGGAAGAAUCUUUGCUCGUAGACUGGCUUUUGUAGUCUUUCUUUAACAAUUACAAGUUAUCUGAAUUCCCUUCAUCCUCCUAUAUAAUAUUGUUUUGGUCUUGUUCUUGUUGCAUUGUGGCUAGGCAUCUCCAUGGAAGGAAGGAGGAUGAAUCAAGUUCCUUUGUAUGAAUCAAUUUCUCUGCUCUUUUUUUUUUUCAAUCCUUGAAUCGAAUCAUUGCUUAGUUCUUGCUUUAAUUUCUCCAUUUUCUGUUGGGUCUUUGAUUGCAGGUUUAGCUCUGCAAGAGAACUGGGAAAUUUAAUUGUGACCUCCAAUCUAAUCGACUCUGCUUUGACUAAAAUUCUUGAGCUUCAAAGAGACCAAACAGCCUUGCUUUCCCCCGUUCAAUACAGAGUUUUUUUAUCCAUCUCCCAACUGCACAAUUGUAGCUUUUGUCUCUUCACCUGACUGCACUCAAAACCCUCUUCCUGGACAAGGAGAUUUAGUUCCCUCUCCUCUCUUUGACUUCCUCUGCACCGAAGAAUACAAGUCCGUCUCCAUUAACAGAGCUGCAUUAACCCUCUUUACCUCUCUCCACGAUCAUCUCUCUGGACUAAAAACUCAGGUCAAAAUAUGAUAGUUGUUUUUAUUUUCGUUUCCUUUUUGUUAACAAUUGUGAGACAUGAAACAGCUUGACCAUGAGAUCUCUCUCAUAGAGUCAAACUACCUGAAGAAGAAGAAGACGUUACACAUAUCCAUCUGCGUUGCAUCAUCGCAUUACCCAUUGAUCGGUUGUGAUUCAACUCUUAAUAGGAAGACAGUAGAACUGGUGUUGGUAUCUGUUUUUAGAUCAGCUUAUAUGUAUCUUGUUGCUAAAAAGGGAAUGUUUAGAAGUGAGAUUAAUGGGAUUAUUCUGACAUGGAUUUCAUAUGGUUACCUGUUUUGCAGUUGACUGUGAUUGAAGGUCAAUUAAUCAUCACUGGGCACUCCCUGGGAGGAGCCGUUGCUUCUCUCUUCACCUUAUGCCUGCUAGAUGAAAAUUUAUUAAAACCCAAAUGCCGCCCCUUUUGUAUCACCUUUGGUUCACCCCUCGUCGGCGGCUUUGGCCUCCAACACUCCAUAUGGAAUUCUUUCUUCCUGCAUGUAGUGUCUAACCAAGACCCAGUCCCCGGUCUCUUCCUCCCAUCUGGCAGAGGCAGAUCUACGCCCACAUCCUCCCAUUCACAAACUACCGGUUACAAGCCCUUUGGGACAUAUCUCUUGUGCUCUGAACUUGGUUGUGCUUGUUUUGACAACCCUGAUUUAAUUUUGGAAUUGCUGAAAGUCAUAUCAUCAGAGGUUGCCGGAGGAUUGCAGGAUGUUGAUUAUGGGGAGAUUUUAAGAAACCUCAAGGAGAGGGCAAUCUGCAAGGGACUUCCGCAGGUGGGUGAAAGGUUUGCAAAUCCAUUUUCAGCUGGGAUCAUCAUGGAACUUGAGACAAUUGGAUUUAAUCAAACAAAGGUAAACAGCUUUCUCCCAUCUAAUGAUGUUAUGGAACAUGGUUUACACCUCAUUAAAUACUGCAACAACUGCCCUAUUUAGAUUUACCUUCUUGUUCUUUGGGAUUUUCCAUAACUAGACUCAUUUUUUAAUUUCAUGGCAGCUGCUGCAGCAUAACAUUGAUAUCGAGACUGUGAUAAGCGCAAUGGAAGCGGAAGCAAGAAACCUAACCCAGAAAAAUAAAGCUUCCGAUGCCAAGAAACUGAAUGAAAUAAAAAUAGACAUGACCCGGCUAGAAUUGUAUAAGAAGAAUUCGAACAUGGGUUACUACGAUUGCUUCAAAAACCAGGGGUCUAAAAGGGACAUCCACGUUGAACAGUUUAGGGUAAACCUCACAGGGUACUGGGAAGGCAUGGUUGCACAAAUACAGAGGAAGCCUCAUAAGGAAGGAGCAACAUUUCGAACCCGUUGGCUCUAUGCAGGGACGGUUUAUAGAAGAAUGGUUGAACCACUGGACAUUGCUGCCUUCUACAGAGAGGGUAGAAAAGACUACAUGAAUAAAAGAUCUGCACAUUACAAGCUGUUGCAGGAAUGGUAUGAGGAAGAUGUGAAACCCCCCUCUAGAGAUAAGCUUGAUUCCAAGAAGCAAAAGGUGUCCAGUAUCCUAACUGAGGAUUCUUGCUUUUGGGCACAUGUGGAGGAGGCUAUCUUGUCAUGCGAAUUGCUCAAGAGUGAAAACUGUAAUCUUGAGGAGGGAAAAUCAUCAUGGGAUAAUCUGGUUAAGUUCGAGGAGUAUGUAAUGGAACAGAUUGACAACUAUGCAGUGUCCCCUGAGAUUUUCUUGGAGAAAAGCAGCUUCAUGAAAUGGAGGGGACUGUAUGAGGGCUACAUAGAUACUCGCAGUAAUUCCCAUAGCUCGCCAUUGAUCAGCUUUAUGAAGAAUCGUAGUUAUAGACAAUAUGGAUAGAGGGGUAAUCCAGUUUGUGUGUUGUGUGUAUUGUUUUGUGAGCAUUCAAUGGAUAGAACUAGAAAGAGUGUGACCUUUUCCUUUUUUUUUUCAGUUGCUGCCCAUAUUCUCAGCACUAUUUUCUUCCUUCUUUUCCUCAGUUUUUUUGUUAAGAAAUGAAUAUUAUGAUGUUGCCGGGAUGCACUUUCAUUUUUGUUCCAUUACAUUGUGUUUUAUUCAUAUCCUAAACAAAUAAAUGUAAACAAGAAAAUCAAAUGAGACUUCAAAGAGUCUGUUCCUUUUAAAGCAAGGGAAAAAAAGGACAUGUUUGUUUACUUCCACAGCUGGGUAGAUUCAACUCCACCAAAAUUGGCAACAACUUCCCAUUGAAAAAUUCCUUUUAAGCUUGAAUGACAUAAAACUAGAUAUGUUCCAGCUAGAAUGGUACAAGAAAGAAAUCAAAAGAUGAGCACAAUGGGUUAUUAUGACAGCUUUAGAAACCUGGGGUGUAAAAGAGACAUUAAAAUGGAACCGAGGGGAAGACAUUGUAGAACAAGUAAAGAGGAAGCCUCACCAGGAAGGGCAGCUUUGCAAACCCUCUGGCUCUGUACAGGAACGAAUUAUAGAAAGAUGGUUGAACCACUUGACAUUGCUGCCUACCACAGAGAGGGUGGAAGAAACUACAUAACCAAUGGAGGAUGUAAACAUUACACGCUAUUAGAGCAAUGAUGCAAUGAAGAGAAGGGGACUUUGUCUUCCAAUAAUUUAAGAAAAUAAAACCAAAUAAUGCCAGAAUUUGGGUUGAGAAACACCCAAAAGAUAGUGGCCCAAUAUGAAGUAGUCACAAAACUAGUAACAGCCUUGUGGCCAUAGUUGGUGUAGUAUGAGCAAGUGGGGUAUGAAGUAGGUAGGUGAGUAUUGCAAUGAAAUUUCCAGCACUGCUUCCUGAAUUAAGAAAUCACAUACUCAAGUCUUAAUCGUUGUCAUCAUACCGUGUGAGAACCGAGGAAGAAUCUUUGCUCUUAGACUGGAUUUUGUAGUCUUUCUUUAACAAUUACAAGUUAUCUGAAUUCCCUUCAUCCUCCUAUAUAAUAUUGUUUUUGGUCUUGUUCUUGUUGCAUUGUGGCUAGGCAUCUCCAUGGGAGGAAGGAGGAUGAAUCAAGUUCCUUUGUAUGAAUCAAUUUCUCUGCUCUUUUUUUUUUCAAUCCUUGAAUCGAAUCAUUGCUUAGUUCUUGCUUUAAUUUCUCCAUUUUCUGUUGGGUCUUUGAUUGCAGGUUUAGCUCUGCAAGAAAACUGGGAAAUUUAAUUGUGACCUCCAAUCUAAUCGACUCUGCUUUGACUAAAAUUCUUGAGCUUCAAAGAGACCAAACAGCCUUGCCUUCCCCCGUUCAAUACAGAGUUUUUUAUCCAUCUCCCAACUGCACAAUUGUAGCUUUUGUCUCUUCACCUGACUGCACUCAAAACCCUCUUCCUGGACAAGGAGAUUUAGUUCCCUCUCCUCUCUUUGACUUCCUCUGCACCGAAGAAUACAAGUCCGUCUCCAUUAACAGAGCUGCAUUAACCCUCUUUACCUCUCUCCACGAUCAUCUCUCUGGACUAAAAACUCAGGUCAAAAUAUGAUAGUUGUUUUUAUUUUCGUUUCCUUUUUGUUAACAAUUGGGAGACAUGAAACAGCUUGACCAUGAGAUCUCUCUCAUAGAGUCAAACUACCUGAAGAAGAAGAAGACGUUACACAUAUCCAUCUGCGCUGCAUCAUCGCAUUACCCAUUGAUCGGUUGUGAUUCAACUCUUAAUAGGAAGACAGUAGAACUGGUGUUGGUAUCUGUUUUUAGAUCAGCUUAUAUGUAUCUUGUUGCUAAAAAGGGAAUGUUUAGAAGUGAGAUUAAUGGGAUUAUUCUGACAUGGAUUUCAUAUGGUUACCUGUUUUGCAGUUGACUGUGAUUGAAGGUCGAUUAAUCAUUACUGGGUACUCGAUGGGAGGAUCCGUUGCUUCUCUCUUCACCUUAUGCCUGUUAGAAGUCAUCAAUUUAUCAAAACCCAAAUGCCGCCCCAUUUGUAUCACCUUUGGUUCACCCCUCAUAGGCGACUUUGGCCUCCAACACUCCAAUUGGAAUUCUUUCUUCUUGCAUGUAGUGUCCAACCAAGAUCUAGUCCCCGGACUCUUCCUCCCAUCCGACAGAUCUCCUCCCACAUCCUCCCAUUCACAAACUACUGGUUACAAGCCCUUUGGGACAUAUCUCUUGUGCUCUGAACUUGGUUGUGCUUGUUUUGACAACUCUGAUUUAAUUUUGGAAUUGCUGAAAGUCAUAUCAUCAGAGGUUGCCAGAGGAUUGCGGGAUGUUGAUUACAGGAAGAUUUUAAGAAACCUCAAGGAGAGGGCAAUCUGCAAGGGACUUCCGCAGGUGGGUGAAAGGUUUGCAAAUCCAUUUUCAGCUGGGAUCAUCAUGGAACUUGAGACGAUUGGAUUUAAUGAAACAAAGGUAAACAGCUUUCUCCCAUCUACUGAUGUUAUGGAACAUGGUUUACACAUCAUUAAAUACUGCAACAACUGCCCUAUUUAGAUUUAGGGCAAUGAUGAAAAUAUCAGUAAUCACGGAUAUAUCAGUAUUUCGAUUUUACGGAUAUAUCGGAUAUAUCGGAGAUAUAUCGGUAGAUAUUUUGAAAAAAAAUAUCGGCAAGCUUAAAAUUGUUAAAAACUCAUGAAAAUAUAAGAAAAUCUCAUAAUAAUAUAAUUAAAAGUAUAAUAGACAUUUUAAAGUUAUUUUAUUGAAAAUUUUGAUAUAUGUAUAACAUGAUUUAUCAUAUUUGAUAAUAAUAUCGUAUGCGUCGAUAAAAAUAUGAAUUUUAUAAGUGUACAUUUAUUAUUAAAUUACACCUAAUAUUAUGAUAUCUGAUUAUAAUAUGUCUAAUUUUAAAAUAUAUAUUAGUAUUAAAAUAUGAUCCAUUUAAUUCAAUUGUAUUAAACAAUAUAAAAUAAAUAAUGAUAUAUAUAUAUAUAUAUAUAAUUUUUUAAUAUUUAAUUAAUUAUUAAUGAUAUUAAAAACAUUAUGAAGAAAAUUAUAUAAUUUUUUAAUUUUUGGUAAUUAAUUAAAAGACUUUGCAUUUAAUUAUAAAUUAAUUAUAAUUAAUUUACUCUUUAAAAUAUUCUUAUAUUUUCUUUAUAUAAUGAAUUUAAGUAUAUAUAUAGUUGUUGCAUAUUAUAUAUUAAAGGACAACUUAGCCCAAGUGGUAAGCGAGUGAACCCCAAUGUGAGGCAUUGUAGCACGUGCACUGUAGCAUCACUGUAGCGACUCUGACUUUCGUUGACCCGCAUUGACUACACGAUAUAUCGGAGAAAAAUCACUGAUUUAUCGCCAAAUCACCAAUAAAUCGCCGAUUUCUCGCGAUAAAUACCAAAAUAUAGUGUCGAAACCCUUCGAUACACGAUUUUUCGGCGCAUUUUCUUACUUGGAUUUACCUUUUUGUUCUUUGGGAUCUUCCAUGACUCAUUUUUUAAUGCCAUUUUAUUUUCCUUUUUGUUUCUAAAUUUUUAAAAAAUCGUUUUCACUUCUUUUUUUUAAGAAAAUUUUGGCAAAUUUUGAAAAUAUAAUAUUAGUGUUUUCACUUCUUUCUUUUUUUUUUUUUUCUUUUUUUUUUUAAACUCAAUUUUCUAAAAAAUGAAAAUAGAAAAACAUUGUCUAAACAUGUUUGUAAACUUAAUUUUAUUUUUUUAUAAAUGAAAAAAAAAAUCUAAAUGAGUAAGGCUUUAUUAAUUUUAAUUUUUUUCUUUUCCUUAUAUUUUCUUAUUUUAUUCCAAAUUUUCUUGCAACCAAACAUAAUCUAAAUGUUUACAACUUUUAUUGUAAGGAAUGAAUGACACUACUUUGUGAACUUUUAUGAUAAUAUUUUGAAUCAUAAAUUGUGUUUUUUUUAGUAAUAUCAAUUUUAUUACCAAUGACUUAAUUGUUAAUAACAAAAUAUAAUAUUUAUAAAUAUUUUUAUUCUCAACAGGCUACAAUUUUUACUCUUGUGAUAAAAAAAAUUUUGUCAUAAAUUACACAUUAUGAUGAGUUUUUCUAUUUUCCUUAUCAGCCAAUUCAACAAAUAUCAUAUAUAUUGUAAUGGCUAACAAAUUUUCACAUAAAUUUUUUAUAAGAUAAAGUAGAAUGGAAUUAUUCAAUUUCAAAAAAAAAAAAAAUGGUACCUAAUGAAAAAGAUAAAAUAUAUAGAUCAUCUCGAAGAAAUCAGGAAAGAUAAAUGAUGAGACCAUAUAUAGGACCCUUGAUGGAGACUAUUUUAAUUGAAGUGGUGUGCUCCUUCCGACUCAGAACAUGUUCAGCAUUGCACACAAACUAACAUCGUCGAUCUUGAGUAUGAAAAAGGUGAUUAGAUUCCAAGGUUGUCGUUUGUCCCAACUCCUCAUAUUAGAGGUGAUGCUCAAGCUAACGUGCCUCGCAGUUGAGCCCCGGCCAAUCGGUCUAAUAUGCUUUUCCAAUGGUGAGUUUCACUGCCACCAUGUAUUACAUUAAUUCCGAUAGCGCACAAGUUGUGUUUGUGCUAUUGCUUUUUGCCCUCACAAACAUAUACACAAGAGACAUUCAGACCAGAUCUGUUCUACCAUCCUCUAGGAAAGCAUUGUAGGUCAUUUGAAAUUGGGAUUUCAGCACCAGAGUCAAAUUGCCUUCCUUCCUGAAAGAUGAGCAUUUUUUAUACUCUUACAUCGGCUUUUAUGGAAAUGAAAUCAGCUUCUCAUUCUGUUACAUUUUUCAAUUUUGCUGCCUAUAACUGCUCACUGCCUGUUUGUGAGACAUUAUCCAGAUUUUCCCUGAUCAAUUAUAGAGAGGUCAUUGGACUCAUCCAUGAUUGGAAUUUCCUGUUAUCAUUAUUUGCAAAUCAUCAACCAUUUGUCAUGAUAUCUUAAGUUAAGCUGAGCACGAAUUUCAGCUAAGAUCCUCAGAACUAGAAAUAUGCACUGCAGGUAUUACUUGAUAUGUGAAUAUCCAAUACAAUAUUUUUUUACUAAGAGGAAUACGAAUUUGAAACACUUUCCAAUAAUUUAUCAAGUCAUAUUUUCGUGCUGUCGUGAUACAUGUGUCUACUGUAUGCAUGGCUUUUCUUUUCUACACAUGCCUUUAUCUUUGCACAUGACUCUUUUGAUACACGCCAGCAUCAAGGCAAUUGCCUAAAUCUAAAUCACAUCCUUUGUGUCACGUCUUCCUUGUUACCACGGUCCUCUUGUACACCAUGGUCCCUUAAUGUAACUUGUGCCACAAGCCCUUUGUGCAUGAAUUCAAAUUGUUCAAUCAUUUCGCCAUUUACACCUUUUAAGGUCCAAUAAGCGUAUACAAGAGACUACACUCAUUCUAGAUGAUAAAGUACAUUCAACUAACUACUCUUGCUAAUGAGCAUAUCCAAGUCAAUACAUAAGAUUAAUUAUUACAUAUGGUAAUUGAAACCCUGUUUAAAUAAAUAGUGACACAAAUAUAAAAAAUAUAUAUAUUUAAAAAUAAAUAAAUAACAAUUUAGAGAAUUUCAUAACUUAGUAUCAAACCUAUUGUAGGAAAGAGUAUUAUACAAUGUAGGGUUUAGGAUCAAAGUUAACCUAAGAUCAAUUUUAAGUUUUAAGACCAAUUCAAAUUCAAAACUAAGGUUUUAAGUUUCAAAAAUAUAUCUCUUAAACCAAUUAAAUAGAAAAAAGAAAAUUACAAAGAAAAUUUCUUCCUCAUCGGUUUCUUUUAUCUUGAAAACUAAAGGAAAUAUAUAUCAAUAUUUGAGAUGGAAAUUCAUAAUCUUAGAAACACAAAGAACAAAGAGAGUAUGAAGAGACCAUACCAUGAGAGAUUUUCCAAAAGGUUGGUAAACCAUGGUAAUCACCUUUGAGUUUUGCUGAGAAAAACAAACCUUAAUUUUUAUUUUUAUUUUUUUAUCAUUUUUUCUCUUGUGGUGUACAUUUAAGAAAAACAAAUCUUAAAAAAAAAAAAAAAAAAACCAAAUAAUGCCAGAAUUUGGGUUGAGAAACACCCAAAAGAUAGUGGCCCAAUACAUGUGCCUAAGAAAAUCUUCAUGAGCCGAUAAACAUAGUCACAAAACUAGUAACAGCCUUGUAGCCAUAGUUGGUGUAGUAUGAGCAAGUGGGGUAUGAAGUAGGUAGGUGAGUAUUGCAAUGAAAUUUCCAGCACUGCUUCCUGAAUUAAGAAAUCACAUACCCAAGUCUUAGUCGUCGUCGUCGUACCGUGUGAGAACCGGGAAGAAUCUUUGCUCGUAGAGUGGCUUUUGUAGUCUUUCUUUAACAAUUACAAGUUAUCUGAAUUCCCUUCAUCCUCCUAUAUAAUAUUGUUUUUGGUCUUGUUCUUGUUGCAUUGUGGCUAGGCAUCUCCAUGGAAGGAAGGAGGAUGAAUCAAGUUCCUUUGUAUGAAUCAAUUUCUCUGCUCUUUUUCUUUUCAAUCCGUGAAUCGAAUCAUUGCUUAGUUCUUGCUUUAAUUUCUCCAUUUUCUGUUGGGUCUUUGACUGCAGGUUUAGCUCUGCAAGAGAACUGGGAAAUUUAAUGGUGACCUCCAAUCUAAUCGACUCUGCUUUGACUAAAAUUCUUGAGCUUCAAAGAGACCAAACAGCCUUGCUUUCCUCCGUUCAAUACAGAGUUUUUUAUCCAUCUCCCAAGUGCACAAUUGUAGCUUUUGUCUCUUCACCUGACUGCACUCAAAACCCUCUUCCUGGACAAGGAGAUUUAGUUCCGUCUCCUCUCUUUGACUUCCUCUGCACCGAAGAAUACAAGUCCGUCUCCAUUAACAGAGCUGCAUUAACCCUCUUUACCUCUUUCCACGAUCAUCUCUCUGGACUAAAAACUCAGGUCAAAAUAUGAUAGUUGUUUUUAUUUUCGUUUCCUUUUUGUUAACAAUUGUGAGACAUGAAACAGCUUGACCAUGAGAUCUCUCUCAUAGAGUCAAACUACCUGAAGAAGAAGAAGACGUUACACAUAUCCAUCUGCGUUGCAUCAUCGCAUUACCCAUUGAUCGGUUGUGAUUCAACUCUUAAUAGGAAGACAGUAGAACUGGUGUUGGUAUCUGUUUUUAGAUCAGCUUAUAUGUAUCUUGUUUCUAAAAAAGGUAAGUUUAGAAGUGAGAUUAAUGGGAUUAUUCUGACAUGGAUUCCAUAUGGUUACCUGUUUUGCAGUUGACUCAGAUUGAAGGUCAAUUAAUCAUCACUGGGCACUCCCUGGGAGGAUCCGUUGCUUCUCUCUUCACCUUAUGCCUGCUAGAUGGAAAUUUAUUAAAACCCAACUGCCGCCCCUUUUGUAUCACCUUUGGUUCACCCCUCAUCGGCGGCUUUGGCCUCCAACACUCCAUAUGGAAUUCUUUCUUCCUGCAUGUAGUGUCUAACCAAGACCCAGUCCCCGGUCUCUUCCUCCCAUCUGGCAGAGGCAGAUCUACGCCCACAUCCUCCCAUUCACAAACUACCGGUUACAAGCCCUUUGGGACAUAUCUCUUGUGCUCUGAACUUGGUUGUGCUUGUUUGGAAAAGCCUGAUUUAAUUUUGGGAUUGCUGAAAGUCAGAUCAUCCGAGGUUGCCGGAGGAUUGCAGGAUGUUGAUUAUGGGGAGAUUUUAAGAAACCUCAAGGAGAGGGCAAUCUGCAAGGGACUUCAGCAGGUGGGUGAAAGGUUUGCAGAUCCUUUUACAGCUGGGAUCAUCAUGGACCUUGAGAUAAUUGGAUUUGAUCAAACAAAGGUAAACAGCUAGCUUUCUCCCAUCUAAUGAUGUUAUGAAACAUGGUUUACACUUCACCAAAUACUGCAACAACUGCCCUAUUUAGAUUUGCCGUCUUGUUCUUUGGGAUCUUCCAUAACUAGACUCAUUUUUUAAUUUCAUGGCAGCUGCUGCAGCAUAACAUUGAUAUCGAGACUGUGAUAAGCACAAUGGAAGAGGAAGCCAGAAACCCAACCAAAAAAAAUAAAGCUUUCGAUGCCAAGAUUCUGAAUCACAAAAAAAAAGACAUGGCCGGGCUAGAAUGGUAUAAGAAGAAAUCAAAAGAUCUGAACAAGGGUUACUACGACUGCUUCAAAAACCAGGGGUCAAAAAGGGACAUUAAAAUUGAACAGUAUGGGGGACACCUCACAUUAUACUGGAAAGACAUGGUUGCACAAGUACAGAGGAAGCCCCAGAAGGAAGGAGCAACAUUUCGAACCCGUUGGCUCUAUGCAGGGACGGUUUAUAGAAGAAUGGUUGAACCACUGGACAUUGCUGCCUUCUACGUAGAGGGUGGAACAGACUACAUGAAGAAUGAAAGAUCUCUUCAUUACAAGCUGUUGCAGCAAUGGUAUGAGGAAGAUGUGAAACCCCCCUCUAAGGAUAAGCUUGAUUCCAAGAAGCAAAAGGUGUCUGGUAUCCUAACUGAGGAUUCUUGCUUUUGGGCACAUGUGGAGGAGGCUAUCUUGUCAUGCGAAUUGCUUAAGAGUGAAAACUGUACUCUUGAGCAGGAAAAAUCAUCAUGGGAUAAUCUGGUUAAGUUCGAGGAGUAUGUAAUGGAACAGAUUAACAACUAUGCAGUGUCCCCUGAGAUUUUCUUGGGGGAAAGCAGCUUCAUGAAAUGGUGGGGACUGUAUGAGGGCUACAUAUAUGCUCGCAGUAAUUCCCAUAGGUCACCAUUGAUCAGCUUUAUGAAGAACGGUAGUUAUACAGAGUAUCGUUAGAGGGGUAAUCCAGUUUGUGUGUUGUGUGUAUUGUUUUGUGAGCAUUCAAUGGAUAGAACUAGAAAGAGUGUGACCUUUUUCCUUUUUUUCUUCUAGUUGCUGCCCAUAUUCUCAGCACUAUUUUCUUCCUUCUUUUCCUCAGUUUUUUCUUAAGAAAUGAAUAUUAUGAUGUUGCUGGGAUGCACUUUCAUUUUUGUUCCAUUACAUUGUGUUUUAUUCAUAUCCUAAACAAAUAAAUGUAAACAAGAAAAUCAAAUAAGACUUCAAAGAGUCUGUUCCUUUUAAAGCAAGGGAAAAAAAGGACAUGUUUGUUUACUUCCACAGCUGGGUAGAUUCAACUCCACCAAAAUUGGCAACAACUUCCCAUUGAAAAAUUCCUUCUAAGCUUGAAUGACAUAAAACUAGAUAUGUUCCAGCUAGAAUGGUACAAAAAAGAAAUCAAAAGAUGAGCACAAUGGGUUAUUAUGACAGCUUUAGAAACCAUCUUACAACACAUCCAUCAGAAUUUAGACUAUUCAUAGAAACAUUCUUAACAUGUAAAUCUACUAUUGCCAUGCACGUCAACAUAGAAUUUCUAAAAUGAUUGAAUAAAAUAAAUAAAACAAAAGAAACCCUUCCAAGAGAAUUUCAUAAUCUAAUGUCAAAUCUAUUACGAAGAUGAACAUGUAAAAUUUAAGGUUUAUAAUCAAAGUCGACUUGAAUCUGAGUUUUAAAACCAAUUUGCAGUUUUUAAGUUUGGAGACUAGAUCUCUUAAACCAAUUAAAUGUAAAAAACUAAAAAGAAAACUUCUUCAAAUUUUGAAAUGAGAAUGAGAAUGCAAUUCCUAACUAGUUUCUUCAUCAAAAAUCCCGAAAAAAAAAAAAAAAGAAGAGAGAGAGAGACCAUAGACGCCAGUGUUUGGGUUUAGAACCACCCAAGAGAGAGUAGUCCAAUAUAUGGGCUUAAGAAAAUCCUCAUGGGCCUAAGCUAAGACUAGGAACAAUCUUGUAUCCGUGGUUGGUUUAGUAUGAGCAUGUGUACUGCGAAGGAAGUAGCUGAGAAUUGCAAUGGAAUUUCCAGUACUGCUUCCUGAACGAACAAAUCGCAUACCCAAGAUUUGGUCGUCAACGCCAUGCUGGGUGAGAACCGGGGAAGCAUCUUCGCUCGUUGACGAGCUUUUGUAGUCCUUCUUUAACAAUUAUAAGGCAUCUGAAUUCCCUUCAUCCUCCCACACCAUUGUUUUUGGUCUUGUUCUUGUUGCUUUGUGACUACGCAUCUCCAUGGAAGGAAGGAGGAUGAACCAAGUUCCUUUGUAUGCAUCAAUUUUACUGUUUUUUUUUUCCUUUUUAAUCUUUGGAUCGAAUCAUUGCUUAGUUCUUGCUUAAUUUCUCCAUUUUAUGUUGGGUCUUUGAUUGCAGGUUUAGCUCUGCGCGAGAACUGGGAAAUUUAAUUGUGACCUCCAAUCUAAUCGACUCUGCUUUGACUAAAAUUCUUGAGCUUCAAAGAGACCAAACAGCCUUGCCUUCCCCCGUUCAAUACAGAGUUUUUUAUCCAUCUCCCAAGUGCACAAUUGUAGCUUUUGUCUCUUCACCUGACUGCACUCAAAACCCUCUUCCUGGACAAGGAGAUUUAGUUCCCUCUCCUCUCUUUGACUUCCUCUGCACCGAAGAAUACCCUUCCGUCUCCAUUAACGGAGCCGCAUUAACCCUCUUUACCUCUCUCUACGAUCAUCUCUCUGGACUAAUAGAUGAGGUCAAAAUCUGAUACUUGUUUUAAUUUACGUUAACUUUUCGUUAACAAUUGUGAGACACGUAUAUAUAUAUAUAUAUAUAUAUAUCUUGUGGAUAAAAGGAAAGUUUACAAGUGAGAAUAGUGGCAUUUUUCUGACAGAUUUCACACCGUUGCUUGUUUUGCACUUGACUGUGAUUGAAGGUCGAUUAAUCAUCACUGGGCACUCGAUGGGAGGAUCCGUUGCUUCUCUCUUCACCUUAUGCCUGCUAGAAGUCAUUAAUAUAUCAAAACCCAAAUGCCGCCCCAUUUGCAUCACAUUUGGUUCACCCCUCAUAGGCGACUUUGGCUUCCAACACUCCAAUUGGA